AUUGAACGCUGGCGGCAGGCUUAACACAUGCAAGUCGAGCGGGGUGAUGGUGCUUGCACUAUCACUUAGCGGCGGACGGGUGAGUAAUGCUUAGGAAUCUGCCUAUUAGUGGGGGACAACAUCUCGAAAGGGAUGCUAAUACCGCAUACGUCCUACGGGAGAAAGCAGGGGAUCACUUGUGACCUUGCGCUAAUAGAUGAGCCUAAGUCGGUUUAGCUAGUUGGUGGGGUAAAGGCCUACCAAGGCGACGAUCUGUAGCGGGUCUGAGGGGAUGAUCCGCCACACUGGGACUGAGACACGGCCCAGACUCCUACGGGAGGCAGCAGUGGGGAAUAUUGGACAAUGGGGGGAACCCUGAUCCAGCCAUGCCGCGUGUGUGAAGAAGGCCUUAUGGUUGUAAAGCACUUUAAGCGAGGAGGAGGCUCUUUUGGUUAAUACCCAAGAUGAGUGGACGUUACUCGCAGAAUAAGCACCGGCUAACUCUGUGCCAGCAGCCGCCGUAA
rnacentral:rRNA from 1 species